CUGGGCACAGCUCAAUGGCCAUCUUUUCCAUGGAGGAUCCCUGGUUGUCUCCAACAAGAGAAUCACGCAAUUUACGAGCUAUUAGGGAACCUGUACAUCAGUCUCUUCGACACAGCAAGGAUGGGUCAGUCCUUGGCAAGCAGUGGGAAGACCCUUUGCUGCAGCUCCUGUGGGGCUGUGAGAAUACACCGGAACAUCCAAAGCCCUGAAGCUGGCCGCAGAGAAGCCUCCCAUGGCAGCUUCUACCACGUGUGAUCUGCAACGGCAGAAAGAACCAGAGAAGAAACGGAGAUCUCAACUGACCAUCAGAGUGAGAAAACAGUGAAUUAAAACAAUCAAAGGGC